AGAUUGAACGCUGGCGGCAUGCCUUACACAUGCAAGUCGAACGGCAGCACGGGGGCAACCCUGGUGGCGAGUGGCGAACGGGUGAGUAAUGCAUCGGAACGUGCCCAGUAGUGGGGGAUAACUAGUCGAAAGAUUAGCUAAUACCGCAUACGACCUAUGGGUGAAAGCGGGGGAUUCGCAAGAACCUCGCGCUAUCGGAGCGGCCGAUGUCUGAUUAGCUAGUUGGCGGGGUAAAAGCCCACCAAGGCUUCGAUCAGUAGCUGGUCUGAGAGGACGACCAGCCACACUGGGACUGAGACACGGCCCAGACUCCUACGGAGGCAGCAGUGGGGAAUUUUGGACAAUGGGCGCAAGCCUGAUCCAGCCAUGCCGCGUGCGGGAAGAAGGGCCUUCGGGUUGUAAACCGCUUUUGGCAGGAACGAACGGCGCGAGCGAAUAUCUCGCGUUAAUGACGGUACCUGCAGAAUAAGCAACCGGCUAAACUACGUCGACCAGCGAGA
rnacentral:rRNA from 1 species